CUCAGUCUUCCAGGCUCAAGUUGCAGUGAGUUUACAACAUUCAAAUCCUAUUCCAUGGACUGGCCAAAAUUUAAAAAUAAUGGAUACAGGACUUGAAAGAUAUUUGAUGGAGCCAGAAGAGGAUAUGAUAAGCAAGAAUAUUUGUUUAAGUUGAAAUCAAGACCUUCCUUCUCCUUGGUGGAGGGUCCUGAUACAAAAGGUAUUGGGAGCUAUCCUACCAGAUGGCAUAGUAAAGGCAGGUGGGUAUUUUCCUGGGUUGAUAGCUUUAUUUACCCUGGUCUGCAGGACUAACUCUCAGAAGUUUACUUCUUUUCAAAAUGCCUGUUGUGCAGUGAAGAUGGGGCCAGUGAUAGGAUGGACUAUCACUAUCUGUGGCAAAAUAUCUGGGAAUCCCCACCUGCGACUCAGGUACCUCUAUCCUCUUUUUAAUGAGGGCACACAGUAUGACAUCCUUCAUUUUUGAGGAUGUCAGGCCUGGAACCUUAAAAGUAGGUUUGUUGUAGAGAUGGCUGGGAAACAGGGGUGGUGAGGGGUGUGCACUAGCCACAUCUCCUGGCUUUGCUAGCUGUGUUUCUGAAUCUUUUAAGAUGAAGUUCCCCCUUGCAGUUAUAGAGAGGACACAAUAAUAGCAGAGAGAGAAGCCAACCAAUUCUGCAAACAGGGCCUAUGGGGGGUCAUCACAGUUAUGUAGUGAAACUAUAAACUCACAUUGUCAAUGCAAGCAGAGUGACCACGCUCUCAGGGACUGAUUCAUGCUAGCCAGACUCACUGAAGAUUCUUGAGU